GUAUAGGAGCUGACGCCUGCCCGGUGCUGGAAGGUUAAGGGGAUCUGUUAGAGCAAUCGAAGCAGUGAACUUAAGCCCCAGUAAACGGCGGCCGUAACUAGAACGGUCCUAAGGUAGCGAAAUUCCUUGUCGGGUAAGUUCCGACCCGCACGAAAGGCGUAACGAUUUGGGCACUGUCUCAACAACAGACUCGGUGAAAUUGUAAUUCCGGUGAAGAUGCCGGAUACCUGCGACAGGACGGAAAGACCCCAUGGAGCUUUACUGUAGCUUGACAUUGGGUCU
rnacentral:rRNA from 1 species